UGCGCAGGCGGCCUGGUAAGUCAGGGGUGAAAUAUGACGGCUCAACCGUCAAACUGCCCCUGAAACUGUCAGGCUUGAGUCCGGGAGAGGUAGGUGGAAUUCCAGGUGUAGCGGUGAAAUGCGUAAAUAUCUGGAGGAACACCGGUGGCGAAGGCGGCCUACUGGCCCGGAACUGACGCUCAGGCACGAAAGCUAGGGGAGCGAAC
rnacentral:rRNA from 1 species